UAAGUGAACAGUGAAAGCUAGCGGCUCAACCGUAUAGAUUAUUGUUCAAACUGGUAAACUCGAGAAUGGUAGAGGUCACUGGAAUUUCUUGUGUAGGAGUGAAAUCCGUAGAUAUAAGAAGGAACACCAAUGGCGUAGGCAGGUGACUGGACCAUUUCUGACACUGAGGCACGAAAGCGUGGGGAGCGAACGGGAUUAGAUACCCCGGUAGUCCACGCCGUAAACGAUGGAUACUA
rnacentral:rRNA from 1 species